GGGUGGAGGGUGGACGAUGGACGAGAUGAGAUGUGUUCUUCCGGUUUCGAGAGACGAGUUCUAUGAAGAUCUUGCAUCAGGCCAUCUCCGACGGCACCACCAUCAAAACAAAUGUCAAAUAAGUCGGAAGAACACAUCUCAUAUUCGUACAUCGUCCACCCAGAGUUCUUCUGCCGGUAGUCGUUGAAGGAAAGGCUGCUCUUUCACCUCACCACCAUCUCGCGCCCGGCGACGGUUUUGUUGACUAGUUCUUGCUUUUUGUCCAGAGUCUAAGAACCGGUGCCGGCCUUUCGAUCCACGCGCGAGCCGUCCGCAAAGAAGUAUCCCUCCUGCCGAUCGCUGCCAAGAAGAUUCCACGGCUCGCUCGGUCCUGUAGACGACGUCAGCGAAUGCGACAGCGUGGACAGGGAAGGGUGUGCCGAUGACCUAGUUGGCGAGGAGAAGGGAGCAGAGAGGCGAGGGGCGAGAAGACAAAGUGCCUUCAUCUUCCUUGAACCCCAUCGCCCCGUUCGGUCUUGCUCGACUCAGAAACAAAGUCGCCGCAAUACUGCCUCUUCACCGCUUCACCGCCAUCAUGCUGCUGCUUACCUUCACGCUACAUAUCAUGUGUCGGUGCACCACUACAGGGCAGCAUGUGCUGUGCCACCGAUCGGUCGACAAACAGGCUCGGACUACUUCACAGCAGAUACUUCAAGUGUGUUUAAAGACAGCAAAUACUUCAAGAUGGAGCAGAGUGAUAUCAGCAGAGAAAUAGGAUGGCUGGAUCCAAGCUGCACUCAUCAACAAGAAAUCAGCAACAGAAUAGGGCGGCAAGGCUGCGAAACAAAACAUUCUAGUUAGUGGAGAAGUCAUCAAAAAACCGUAUGAGACAUGCUGACUAUGACUUGCCAUUUUGCUCACCAGGUUCCUUUGACUAUCCUUACUGUUCCAUCGACUACCCUUACUGCUCCAUUGACUACUAAGCUGCAUAAGUCUGUUAGCAAUACUAACUUUGCUUAUUUAGAUCGUGUUACUGAAAAGAAGCUCUUGGGGAAGUACUAAAUGGUGAUCGGGUCGAUGCUCCAUAUGAGUUACAUUUUCUGGAGGAAAAGCAGUUAAAGUCUCUUUGUGAGAAAAACUUAUCAAAAGAAGAUGUUGCAAAGUUCAGACAUGCUGUAUCAAGGGACUGCUACUUUGAAAUGUAUUAUGAUGAUAUGCCUCUAUGGUGAUUCUUGGGCAAGACUUAGAGGGACAAUACUGAUUCGGGCAAAGACAAUCACUUGUUCUUUAAACACAUCCACUUGAAUAUUCUUUACAAUGAUUAUAGGGUUAUAUAGAUCAAUGUCCAACAUUAUUGUGGAUAUCUUGGAGGAUAAGGAAUUGGAUGUAGAGUUUUUAUAUUCUGUUACAUGGAAAAAGAUUGACAUAUCUUUUGAAGAAA